AUGACAAAUUCAUGGUCUCAGUAGUAUUACCAAUGAGUUCAGGAUUUCUUAAACUUUUAAACCUUAUAUGAAAGAAAAAAAAAUGUGAAUGACUUUUCAUGUUUGUACUGAGCAUUCAUGUGAUAAUAUCUCAUCUCUGAUUAAUGAAAAAAAAAAAAUCCAUAAAUUGACUUCGAAGAAUUGUUCCUUUUUUUUUUUUUUUUUAUUUAGCACAAUCCUUGUGUGCCGCCUCAUGUUGCAUGGAAAUCAUAGAAGCAGUUCCUUCUUGCAUCACAGCACAGGUGAACUUUGCAUUUCAUACAAUACAUUUGUACUUUUCCCUUACAGCCUGGCAACUUGCAUGUGCCCCUAUUUGCACUGAAAGCAAGGAAAUGCCCAACAUUGUCUUGCCGUGUGUCUUUUUCUGGAAUUUUCUUGGUGGCUCUCCCAGUUUUCCUCUUCUGAGCAAAGGCACUGUCCACAGCAUUUGAAGGUCUUCCUCUUUUACUUGUCACAUCUUUCCACCACACAUCAGGGACCUUGAUAGUCUUAGCCUGAACUCACAGAGAAUAUUCUGCUUACGAGAAGGGACUCACUCCCACAGCAGUUGCUGAUCGUCUGUACUGUAACCAACAGUUUACCACAGUCAUGUCAAGUAAGUGAAAUACAAGCCUCUGAUAGUAUUUCCUUGCUUUGAAGGUUGUAAGCAAGCAAUUGGUCACACAAAUCAACACCUGCCAUAUGUUUGUUACAAUCUGCUACAAUGUUGGGCGUGGGGGUUUCAACUCUGUCUUUAGUGUUCUUGUCGUGCCUGGAACAUUUCUCUGUUGGCCAUGAUGUUGUAAAUGAUGAUACAAGACACACUGACUUGGUAUCCAUCCACUUGACACCUGAAAUUUUAGUGUCCCCAGUUUUCGUUUCCCAUUCAUCAUGACAACCUGUACCUUGAGCUGCAAGUUGUCUCUGACUUGAACGUCAAACCUUCUAGCCUCCUUGCCUGCACUGUGCCAGAACACCAUAUUCCCCUCGAGGCUAGAUGUUCAAGGAGGGGCACAGAUGUGAACCAACUGUCAAAGUACAGUCUGUGAUUAUUCAUGCUCGGUAUACUUUCAGCAAGAUGCAGUACUGCAUUCGAGAUUGGUUUGAGAUCUGGAACAUCAGGCUUGCCAACAGCUUGAAUUUUUCUAGUAUAAGGCAUAAAAUCACACACCACACCCAUGCUGUCUGCCAACACAAAUAUCUUAUAACCCCAUUUAUGAGUUUUUUUUAUUUCUUGAAUGUUUACCUCUCUCUUCAUAUCGUCCUUUCACUUCCUUAUUCUCUUCACAAUGCUGUUAUACAUGACUGACCUUGGAAGGGACCAUUUGCUCAUCUACACACAGGUUUUCUGUCGUGGGGAUUUGUGGAAACUUCUCCUGUAGGUGGUUAACUAGAGGUCUCACCUUGCAUAUUUUGUCAGUUUUGUCUAGUGUCGUGUUGUCAACAAAAUGCAGAUUUGAUUUGAUUUCCUUCAUCCACUUCAUAACACUCAUCCCCGCUAACUUCGGCAUCACUGGCAGCUAACAAUGUUUCCACCAGCCUUUCGGUGGUGUUGGAACUUUUAUUUUGUCCGCAGAAUGCAGUAGUACUGCAGCAACGAGAGGGUCUUGCAAGAAUAUUUACUUGUCACUCAUUGUUUUUAAUUCAUUACACAUCUAUGGUGUUAUAGUGUAAAUCAAACCAAGUUUAAUAUAUAACAAAACUAUUUGCAUGUCACUGCAAAAAUAUAUCGGUAGUAUAACAAAGACGAAAAUAUUACUCAUUUAUAUAAUAGUAUUCAUUUGCCUGAUAGGACAGAAAUGUCACCUUUAAACAAGCACUACAGAUGUUUGGCAAAGGGUGAUAUGAGGAUUUUUGGGAUGUAAAUAUGAUCUUUAGGUGUGCGUUUAUCACAGCAAAUUUUGUCAUAAUUGUGCUUUACCUGGGGAUACAUCCAUGAUGCAGUGAAAGUGGCUGCUUUGCGCAACCUCCGGCACGCAUCCACCUGCUCUCAGUGUCCUGGUUCAUCCGAGAAGCGGCAACCAUUCCAGUGUAAACAAAGGUGCCGAUCGAAAGCUGAAACGGGACUUGUAUGUCCUGACCGGCGAGCGAACUCUGAUACAGAGUUCAGAGUUAAAACCAUGUAUUCCAAGGAGGACAUAUUUGUCCUCUUCGACAGUAAAGAGUUAAGACCCCUGUACUCCCAAAGCAAACCUCGUCUUUAAUUUUCAGGGAGAGUGAUCUAUACUAUCCCUAUUACUACUACUAUUAUGACUAUUUCCAGGUUAAGAGUGACUACCUGGAGGAUGAAAGCAGGGCGGCAGAAGGCAUGGAUUUCGACACAGCCAUCCAGCUCACUUGCAUCGAAAUCAAGCGAGUCUUUAAGCGGAUGAACGGAUGCGCGAUGGACAAGAAGUCAAAUCUUGAGCAGCCGGAGAAGGAAGUCGGUCUACAUGAAUUCCUACCGGCCUACAUCAUCAACACCACCAAACAGAAAACGUUACGUAAGGCUUUGCAGGGAAACUUUAAGAAAUUCUCGGCGUUCUUCGAUUACGAAUCUCACUUCAAGUGCCUCGAGAUUUUGGGAAAAGUUGGAAAGUUUGACAUCGAAAACUUCCGCUGUGCACUCGGCUGUGGUUGGUCUAUUCCUGUCACUCUGCUUGUCGGCCCAAGUGUUGGUAUUUCCUACUGGACAGAUUCUGCCUCUGCCGUAGCAGGUACUACAGAAGCCCUCACCAUCACCAUCACCUGCCCCUCCAUUGGCGGAGCAGAGAGCUUAGCAGACCUGGUUGACAGCUACUGCAGGCUUGUCAACCAAUCCAGCAUGUCGCUGUGGACUGUGUGGAGAGAGAGAGAGAGAGAGAGAGAGAGAGAGAGAGAGAGAGAGAGAGAGAGAGAGAGAGAGAGAGAGAGAGAUAGGGGGAGGAGGGACUGUAGGUGAACUUGAAGGAGAAAUAGGAGGAAUGCUCUUUUAAAAGGCUCUAGUUGAAGUUGUAAGGGUUUUUAAGGGUGUUCUUAAGGCUCUAGUGAUAGAUUAACAACAGGAGAAACACUCUUUUAAAAGGCUCUAGUUGAAAUGAUGCAGGUUUUUAAGGAUGUUUUUAAGGUUCCAGUAACAGAUUAACAAUAUUUCUGCAUUACUGACAGGAGAAACACUCUUUUAAAAAAGCUCUAGUCGAAGAUGUAAGGUUUUUAAGGGUGUUUUCAGGGUUGAGGUGACAGAUUAACAACAUCUGCAUUACUGACAGGAAAAACAUUUUUAAAAGACUCUAGUAAAGUUUUUUUUUAUUUUUAUUUUUUUAAGGUUGUAGUGACAGAUUAACAACAUUUCUGCAUUAUUGACAGGAGAAACACUCUUUUAAAAGGUUCUAGUUGAAGUUGUAAGGGUUUUUAAUAUUUUUUAAGGUUGUAGUGACAGAUUAACAACAUUUCUGCAUUAGUGACAGGAGAAACACUUUUGAGAACCUUGCAAACCAUCACUGUGGCUUUAUGAAACAGUCAGUGGUGAGAGACCUGACCUGAGCCUGUGUGACCUGAUCUUCUCCAGGCUCGUGUGUGUGUGUGUGUGUGUGUGUGUGUGUGUGUGUGUGUGUGUGUGUAAGUUUGUUUACUACUACUACUAUUACUCAUAAAAGUAAUAAUAAUGACAAUAAUUAUGAUACUACUACUACUACUACUACUACUACUACUACUACUACCACUACUACUACUACUACUGCUGCUACUGCUACUACUACUACUACUACUACUACUACUACUACUACUACUACUACUACUGUAAUAGGCACUACUUUGCAUGAAGAAAAGAAUAGAUAUAAGAGUAGAAUUAGAAGGAAAUUAGAGACGCGUUAGAGAAUCUAACGCUAGUAUUAGAAGAAUUGUGCAAGAGGUGAACAGGACGUUGAAUUGAUAACAGCCAAGCUUAACUAUAAACAGCCGGUUUGUUUCAUGCCCAUUCAGCUUGUUAAAGGCUUACCUCCCAUUGGGUGGAGAUUAAAACGUCAUUCAUUUUUCUUGAUAUUAUUGGCUAUGGAAAUCUAUGACGUAUGCCUCGACACCUCUCGGACAAUCCUCAAGUCACUUUUAGAGUAGCAGCCACUCACCAAGAUAGUACAGACGCACAACCCGUGUCGCUCUGACUUGAGUUACUCAAAGACUUAGACUCUGAUCAAGACGCAAGAGUCUUAAUAACUUUGCUUAUAACCUUUGUCGUGUGAUUGAGUAGUAAAGAAGAACACUGUUGUUGAGCUGUAAGACAAUUUAUAUUUUCUAAAUAAACUGCAACACGCCAGACUAACUUUGAUAACCCACUUGCACAAGGAUGUUGUGAGUGAUGAUUAUCGAGAAAGAAAAUCGUCGUUUCCGAUACCAAGCUACGCCCACCGACACAUAGUCGCCACAGAGGCUAGAGACAGUGUGCACAUAUACAUGACAACACAGUGGUGGCAACACAGUGGUGUUCAGCUUAUUGGGAUUCUGAAGCCUAAACAACCUCCGAAGAGUAAGAAGAGUUUACAAACAUUAAAAACAAACAGCAGCAACGGAAACAACAGCAAUAACGCUUCCCCAGCCAACACAGUGAGUCAAGGUCAACCCCACAAGUGUGCACAAGUCCCGCACCGCGCAGCACCGCGCCACACCUCAUCACACUCCCGAGCCACUACUCACACGAUCAAACUCAAGAGUAACUCUCAAUUAAUACCACCAAACAACGAGACCAAUAUCUAAAUACUAAGAAGAGACUUAGAAGAGGAAACCGCAGCCAGAGACGAGAGCAGGAUCAGCGCCGCCCCAGCAGCCGCCGCACACAGCCAUCAGCCACAGCACGCCGCCACCAGCAGCCGCUGCACACAGCCAUCAGCCACAGCACGCCGCCACUAGCAGCCGCCGCUCAAGAGGACAUCGCUACUCACUUGUCUAUACUUUGGUAACAGUAUUCAACCUGUCAAUCAUUAAUGUAAUUAUAUUCAUGUAAUACUUUAUCUAAUACCCAGUGCACCAACAGUUUGUGUAUGCCUGAGGAAUGACUGAGCACGAAGAAACAUUGAGUAUAACUGCCUUAUUGUAGAGCGUCUCCCAACAUUAUCACACACACUACCCAUCAUCAUAGGACAAGGUAUGUAAAUUGUACACAUGUAUGCCACUACCUAGUCAAGUUUCAAGUCGAACUAGUCCUAUCUUUACUCGCAGUUUACGAGCUUUACGUGAAAGUAGAAACUCCACCAUGACAAACGCUAACGUAGUAAAACAUUCAAUCAUCACCACUGUUGCUGAUAUCCCAAAAUUCAGUGGAGAACCUGAUACUAUUGAUUUAAAUCAGUAUGUCAAAAGAAUAGAAACUUUGAUCAAAAACAAAGGUAUUGUUGAGGAUAACUUAAAAAUAGAAUGUUUCAAAGAACACAUUGACGCUGUUAAGGGCACAGCUCGUCACGUCAUAGUAUAUUCACAUUUAGACAACAUCAAAACAUUUGAUGAGUACAUCAAAGCUUUUAAAAAGCACUUCACAACAAAAAGCGAUAGAGAUCCAAUACGCGCCAUGGUCAAGUUUCUGAAAAUAGCUCCAGAACAAAACGAGACACAAACAGCAUUCAUUUCAAGGUUGGAUACACAAGCAAGAGACAUCGAAGCAAUCUUUGAAAACUCAGAUUGGUCUGUGAAAAAUGAACCCAAACAAAUCUCCUUGAAAAACAUGGCUCUCGUUAUGAUGCUAGCACAAAUUGUCAAAUCAAACAAGGGUGUAGUACAGGAAAGACUCUAUAAAGACAUCAAACCAAACAUACAGUUAGGUGAGGUAGAUUGCCUACUCAAAGGCUAUGCAGAAAUAGAUCCUACUUGCAGUACAUAUGUGUUAGCUGCUAGCUCAGACUCACGCACACCAACCACACAAAGGCAAGGACGAUCACAAUCUAGAACCACAACACCUUAUAAUGGUAGGAGUCCUUCUAGACAAAGACAAACAAUUGAAUGUUACAAUUGCCACAAAUUUGGAAACUCUGCAAGGGACUGCUACGCUAAUAUCACCUGUUCCAACUGUCAGUAUAAAGGUCACAAAGAAUCAGUAUGUAGAAAUCCUCCUUGGUGUACUUAUCAUCACAGAAUUGGGCACAGGACAGCAGACUGUCGUGCUAGAAGUCAGGAUUUUCACAAUGGCCAAAAAGAAAAAAAACAGUACAACUUAGUCACUUCAUCAGUAGCCAACAGAAGGUCAACUCGCCACAUUUCAUAUCAAAACCAGGAAAUAAAAGAAUCCAAAGCACAGCCAUGGUACUCCAACUUAGAUAAAAGCCAGGAAGUAAAGGAAGUUAUCUAUAUAAAUGACAACUCCGGAGGUCCGCUCAUAGCUGGACGAGUGUUUGAUGAACCCAGUCACAUGUUUCUAGACACAGGAGCACGUAUAAACUUAAUCAGUCUAGAUUUUCUAAGAAAAGCGAAACCUGGUUUGGUCAUUAUUGAGCCAACCACAUUCAACAUUCAUGGAGUUACCGGAAACAAACUCACACCUUUAGGAGAAACACAGAUAACUGUAACUUUUGGGAACUAUUACAUGUUUGAAUUAACAGCUGUUGUGGUAGAACAGCAAGCGUUCCCAGGAAACUUACUCAUUGGAUAUGACACAAUGCGAGAUGAAGACAUAACUAUCUUCCCUGCGAAGGGAGGAGUUAAAAUAUCUUACAAGUUUCUACCAUUCGUUAACACCCGCAGCCAAGAUGUCCUGGCACCAGUUAGUCAACAACCUAAGACAGAAGUAAACACAGUUCCCUCAGAUAAUAACGUGGCAGAGCGGUACUUAAACAAUUCAUCACCAGUACUUGACGAGAAUUGCAUUCCUACGGAACGUCAUGAAAAGACAAAUUCCCCACUGAUAACCCAAAAGAACAAACAACAUGCACCAACCGAAGCCUUGAAAAUUGUUUCAGGUUCUGUAACAGAGUGCACGCUGUUGCAGGCUCAGUCUAUUUGCAAGGUAAAGGUUAGUCUAAAAGGAAUAAGUGAUCAUGUGACAGCGAUUGCCUUAAGCGAGUCGUCACGUAUUCGUGGAAUAAAUUUAGAAAGUGGUCUUUACCAUACAAACAGGGGUAAAUCUGAAGUAUUUGUCAUCAACACGCUUCACACAGACGUAACUAUUAAGAAAGGAACAGAGUUAGGACGUUUCCAAGUCAGUAAAGCUAUAGAAAUAAUCAAUAAUCAAGACCUUAGCUCUGAUAAAGAUGAACAAAUAGCACAAGUGUUUUCGCUACAAGAAUCCUCACAGAGUGAGAAAGAGAUAAAGAAACACCUCGCUCCCACUAGUCGUCCAGAUCUUGAGAAAGAACUAGUACACUUACUACACCUGCAUAAAGCAGCAGUUGCUUUGCCAGGAGAAGCCUUGGGUAAAACAACUCUAUUGCAGCACAAAAUCAAACUCCAGCCAGGAACACAGCCUAUUUACGUUCCCGCAUAUAGACUACCGCAUUCUAAACUUGCCACUGUUGAUAAAUUGAUUGAAGAUAUGUUGUCACAAGAUGUCAUAGAACCUAGUGACAGUGAGUGGAAUUUUCCACUAAUACUUGUGCCCAAACCGGACGGUACCAUGAGACCAGUGAUUGAUUACAGGGAACUCAACAAGAAAACAAUUCCAGACAGACUUCCGCUUCCAGUUAUUUCUGAUGUUCUUCGAAGUCUAGGCACUUCAAAUAAGUUAUUUAGCACAAUUGACAUAAAAUCUGCAUUUUGGCAAAUAGAGCUCGAUGAAGCUUCACGUCCAUUGACAGCAUUUUCUACACCAACAGGACAUUAUCAAUUUCGUAGAAUGCCAUUCGGAUUAUCGAACAGCCCACUUACUUACAUGAGAUUAAUGAACAAUGUCCUACAAGGUUUGAUUGGGAAGACUGCUAGUGUUUUCCUUGAUGACAUUUUAAUAGUUUCACAAACAGAAGAAGAACACUUCCACAAACUAAACCAAGUCUUCACCAGACUCGUAUCAGCAGGAUUAAAGAUCAAGUUGGAAAAAUGUCGCUUUCUACAAGAGGAAGUAACUUACUUAGGUCAUCAAAUAGACAGUCAAGGUCUGAGGACAGUACAGUCAAAGGUAGACGUCGUAAAACAAUUUCCUCAACCAACCUCAGUUGAAAAAGUAAGAAGUUUCUUAGGACUAACAGGAUAUUAUAGAAAAUUUAUCAAGAAUUACGCUGACAUAGCACAACCAUUGAGUUCACUCCUGAAAAAGAAUACUACAUUCUCUUGGGGUCCUUCCCAAACCAAAGCAUUUGAAACACUGAAAAACAAGCUCACAAGUUCGCCAGUAUUGAUUUUCCCAGAUUACACAAAAGAGUUCAUCUUGUGUACAGAUGCCUCUGACAUAGGGUUAGGAGGAAUACUAUUGCAGGAAAGAAAUGGUAAUCCACACCCAAUUGCAUAUGCUUCCAGACUUUGCACAGCUGCAGAAAAGAAUUAUAGCAUCACAGAACGCGAGACUUUAGCAGUGAUAUAUUGUCUAGAACACUUCAGAGAUAUCAUAUUGGGUUACAAGAUUAGAGUGUGGACAGACCACACCGCAAUUCAGAAUCUGUUUAAACACAAGAAUUUAAGAGGACGCUUAGCACGUUGGUUUGUGACACUGCAGAAUUAUGAAAUAAACUUUGAAUACAUACCAGGAAAGAAAAAUACAGCAGCCGAUGCUCUAUCACGAAACAUAGUCUCACACGGAGAAGUAAAUAGUGUAGUAUGCAGUAUCCAAGAACUAACCACAUUAGACAAUGAACUUGUAUACUCAGAACAAAGAAAAGAUGACACUUUGAAGCAAAUAAUAGAGCACCUUGAAGGUAAUACAGACAGAGAAGCACAGAUACUACAAAAGAAAUAUAAACUAUCGGAAUUCCAAUUACAUAAUGGAUUGCUAUACCGCAAUACCGAAAUAACAUGCAAAGGAGUAUCACGUGGAAAAGUGAAACAGUUAGUUAUACCCAAAGAGUUGGUACCAAAUGUCUUGCACUUCAUUCAUGAUUGUGCAACUAGUUCUCACCCAGGAAAAGAAAAGGCUUAUAGACAAGCACAACUGAAAUACUAUUGGACAGACAUGAGAAAACAAAUCUACAAUCAUAUAGAUAAUUGUAACGUUUGCGCAGAAACAAAAGGACACACACGCACACCAGCACCAAUGUUGAAUUACCCAAUUCCUGAGAAACCGUGGGAUAGAAUUCACCUUGAUACCUUGGAGUUGCCCCUAUCUAAUAAUGGAUUUAAAUAUUUACUAGUAAUCAUCGAUUACUUCUCCAGAUUUUGCAUUUUACAGCCAAUACAGAACAAGAAAGCAGAACAAUCGCUACAACUAUAUUUGAAAAAGUAAUAUGUCCAUACACAACCCCAAAAACUAUCAUCACUGACAAUGGUCCUGAAUUUAAUAACGCUAUUCUAGUAGAAAUAUGUCGCAUUUUCAACAAAAAGAAAAUAAAUGUACACGCCUACAAACCGGAAAGUAACGGAGUUGUGGAAAGACUUAAUAGAAAAGUCAUCACUUGUCUACGUACAUUGAUAAAUCCACACAGCAUUACGUGGGACACAUGGAUCCCACACGUCACAUGUGCUUUGAACACACAAAUCAAUUCAGCCACAGGUGAAACGCCACAUUAUAUUCUUUUUGGAGAGGAUAAGAAUUUACCGUACUCACUUCUAGAGUCAGCACCGCGUCAUGUCUAUAACUAUGAUGAUUUCAUACUAACUAGAAUCAAUAAAUUCAAGGAAAUUUACCAACGUAUCAGAAAUCACAUGAAUCAAUACUCACAAUACUUAACAAAACAACAACAUAAAAGGGCACGAGAAAUAAAAAUACAGCCAGGAAAUAUAGUCAUGGUCAAACUACACACGCCAAUAGGACAUAGCAACAAACUUUCGCCCAAGUUCAAGGGUCCGUAUAAAGUCAUUGCACAAUAUAGUGGAAAUAAAUUCACAAUACGAAAUUUGGAAACUGGUGAUAUCAGUGUACGCCAUGCAGAUGAGCUCAAACAGACAAACAUGAAUGAAUUUGGUGAUUAUGCAGUCAUAGAUAGUGAUGAAACAAAUAGCAUAGUAACAGACAAGACAGAAACAGACACAAACAAUGUAGAAACAGGAACUGAUAGUGCACAGACAGAAACAAGUCACCACGCAGCAGACGACGAAAGCCAUGAUUACAGGAAGAAAUUAAGAAGUCAUAGAAAACAAGUUUUGCCAUUAAUUUGCACCAAUGAACUCUCAUUAGAAUCUGAAUUUUAUGAGUAUGUUGAAGAAAUAUUAAAUGAGUUGAACAUAGAUUGUUAUUCUUUUUACAGGUAAAGAUGAAACAAGUGGCAUGCAUGUUCUCAGCUAUAGUAGUUCUAGCAACAGCCUGGGACCCUGUGAGGCCCGGAGCUUUAGUAAGGAAAAUCGGCGACAUGAUCAUUGUGAACCAAUCAGUAAGAGUACUAUUGAAAUUUGACAAUAUAAAUGUUGUAAGAGAAAAUGUCAGACAUAUCAAUAAUGGGUUACAGAUGGUAAAAGACAAAUUGAUAAUUAGUGAGAUAUCCAAUGUGAGAUUAGAGAAGAAAUUAGAUGCUAUACAGACGAAGGUCACCAAAAUAGAAAAUAACUUCCUACAUAGCAAAAGCAAAAGAGGAGUAGGUAUCGCAAUAGCGAUCGGAUCGUUAGUAGGUCUUGGAGUAACAAAUAUUGGUUUGUAUGCAGAACUUCGCUCAAAUGUAAAUAAUCUACAAAACUCAGUGUCCAGAAUCGAUGUCUUACAAGAAGAAACAGAAGAUAUACAACUUACCAUAGAUGAGAUGAUUAAUAGCAUAGAAACCUUAAGCACAGAGAACUCUAAAUUGAAGGAAUCCCUGGAAAUUUUCAUGGUCUUGGAUCAGUUGCACAUUAAGAUAAAUUAACUAAAUGCUGAAAUGGAACAGUUAAUUCAAGACUUAGUUACGGCUAAUGCUGGACAUGUUACAUACACAUUAUUUUCAAUAUCACAACUUCUAAACAUAACUCAACAAGCAAAAUAUGAGUGAAAUUUUCAACCUUUCUUUGAUUCAAAUAAUAUUGCUCUAUAUUAUCCCAUUCUUAAUUCAUUCAUAAAUGAUACUGGAGUACUCAUUGACAUACCAUUUUCAUCAGAAUUGAAAUAUCACAUGUAUAAUCUGAUUCCUUUCCCAAUGAAAUUUAAUAGUUCCAUUAUAACAGUUGAUACUGAUAUAACAUCUCCAACAAAUUACAUCCUAUCCAUAAAUGGUUUGAAAGAAAGUGUUAUAGUAAAUGAUGAUCUAUUGCACUGUAAGAAAACUAACGUAGACUUGUACAUUUGCUCAGCUACUUAUUUUACUUUCAAUGAAGCAUUGAGUCACUCAUGUGCCGCAUCCUUGGUGAAAAAUAUAUCCAUUGUACGUAAUUGUCAUUUCAAGGAAGAAACUCCCACACCACGUCAUGAAACUAUCCAGGAAUCUCACUACUUAUAUUUUCCAAACAAGACAACUGUAUCAGUCAUAUGCCCAGGAUUUCAACCUCAGAUAGCAUCAAUAGAAGGCUUAUAUCGUGUACCAGAUCAAUGUGAACUUCAUAGCCCCACACUCACAACAGUAGCAAAUAGGAAAAAGACUAUUGUACUUAAUAGAGAAAAUGUUUUACAGGACAUUACUAUGAAAUUCCCAGACAGAGCUCCUCCUUUGAAAAUCAGAAAGAUUAACAAGAAAAGACUUGUAACGCAAGUGUCAAAAACACACAAAGGUACUAUGUGGUAUAUAAUAUAUGUACUUCCAUUUGUCUUGAUAGUCACAUUGAGCACAAUAUCAAUGAUACUUACGAGUAUGUACAAGAAACUCAAGAAUUCAUCCAUCGAAAUGAAACACAUUUCCGAGCCGUAACCCUGUGAUAGGUAUGUAAAGAACAGCAAGCAUGUAAUAUUGUAAAUAGAAUAUGUAUGUAAAGAACAGCAAGCAUGAAAUACUGUAAAUAGAAUUUAUUGCAUAACAAUUUUGUCGGGACGACAAACGGUAGCUGCCGAGCCCUGUAAUAGGCACUACUUUGCAUGAAGAAAAGAAUAGAUAUAAGAGUAGAAUUAGAAGGAAAUUAGAGACGCGUUAGAGAAUCUAACGCUAGUAUUAGAAGAAUUGUGCAAGAGGUGAACAGGAAGUUGAAUUGAUAACAGCCAAGCUUAACUAUAAACAGCCGGUUUGUUUUAUGCCCAUUCAGCUUGUUAAAGGCUUACCUCCCAUUGGGUGGAGAUUAAAACGUCAUUCAUUUUUCUUGAUAUUAUUGGCUAUGGAAAUCUAUGACGUAUGCCUCGACACCUCUCGGACAAUCCUCAAGUCACUUUUAGAGUAGCAGCCACUCACCAAGAUAGUACAGACGCACAACCCGUGUCGCUCUGACUUGAGUUACUCAAAGACUUAGACUCUGAUCAAGACGCAAGAGUCUUAAUAACUUUGCUUAUAACCUUUGUCGUGUGAUUGAGUAGUAAAGAAGAACACUGUUGUUGAGCUGUAAGACAAUUUAUAUUUUCUAAAUAAACUGCAACACGCCA